CAUAGACCUUUAAACUAGCAGAUCAUAACCACUGUUGUGUUCUGCGUAUUUUUACGCAGCUCUCCACCGCUGCGUAAUCUUUAUGUCCUCGCCAUAAAAGCCGCGCGCGCUGGCAGCCGGCGUGUCUGCGCAGCAUCAGGAGCAGCCUCGCAUCACUUUCUUCAUUCCGCUUCAUCUGACACAUUCAAAUGGGAGCUCGCUGCCUUCCGCUCCGACGCGGCGUCUGCGCGCAGCCAGCGAGCAGAGCGCACAUCUGAGGACGAAAUACGCAUGAAGAAAAUUAGUUUUUGUCUUUACAAACAUGAGGCUGCAAUGAUUGACAAGGCAGUGACAGAUCCUUUCCAGCAGGAUGUGCGUUUUCUUAUCACAUCCUCCUCCAGCUGCUUAUAA
rnacentral:lncRNA from 1 species